UGGGGGAAUAUUGGACAAUGGGGGCAACCCUGAUCCAGCCAUGCCGCGUGUGUGAAGAAGGCCUUUUGGUUGUAAAGCACUUUAAGCAGGGAGGAGAGGCUAAUGGUUAAUACCCAUUAGAUUAGACGUUACCUGCAGAAUAAGCACCGGCUAACUCUGUGCCAGCAGCCGCGGUAAUACAGAGGGUGCGAGCGUUAAUCGGAAUUACUGGGCGUAAAGCGAGUGUAGGUGGCUCAUUAAGUCACAUGUGAAAUCCCCGGGCUUAACCUGGGAACUGCAUGUGAUACUGGUGGUGCUAGAAUAUGUGAGAGGGAAGUAGAAUUCCAGGUGUAGCGGUGAAAUGCGUAGAGAUCUGGAGGAAUACCGAUGGCGAAGGCAGCUUCCUGGCAUAAUAUUGACACUGAGAUUCGAAAGCGUGGGUAGCAAAACAGGAUUAGAUACCCUGGUAGUCCACGCCGUAAACGAUGUCUACUAGCCGUUGGGGUCCUUGAGACUUUAGUGGCGCAGUUAACGCGAUAAGUAGACCGCCUGGGGAGUACGGCCGCAAGGUUAAAACUCAAAUGAAUUGACGGGGUCAUAGCUG
rnacentral:rRNA from 1 species